CUUUUGUUGUUGUUGUUGUUGCUAUUUCUUGGGCCACUCCCGCGGCAUAUGGAGGUUCCCAGGCUAGGGGUUGAAUCGGAGCUGUAGCCACCAGCCUACGCCAGAGCCACAGCAACGCGGGAUCCGAGCCGCGUCUGCAACCUACACCACAGCUCACGGCAACGCCGGAUCGUUAACCCACUGAGCAAGGGCAGGGACCGAACCCGCAACCUCAUGGUUCCUAGUCGGAUUCGUUAACCACUGCGCCACGACGGGAACUCCAAUUUUUUUUUUUCUUUGACUGCACCUGUGACGUGCAGAAGUUCCUGGGCCAGGGAUGGAACACAUGCCACAGCAGUAACUAGAGCCACAGCAGCGACAAUGAUGGAUUCUUAACCCACUGAGCCACCAGGGAACUUCUGCCCAUUUCUUUUUGCCGUUUUAAAAUGUGACUACUUGAAAUUCCCAUUGUGGCUCAGCAGUAACAAAUCCAACUACCACCCAGGAGGAGGUGAGUUCGAUCCCUGCCCCACUCAGUGGGUUAAGGAUCUGGUGUUGCCAUGAGCUUCAGCAUAGGCCACAGACGCAGCUUGGAUCUGGCAUUGCUGUGGCUGUGGUGUAGGCCGGCAGCUGCAGCUCCGAUUCAAACCCUAGCCUGGGAAUUUCCAUAUGCCGCAGGUAUGGCCUUAAAAAUAAAUAAAUAAAAUAAAAUAAAAUAAAAAACUAUUAUAAAUGGUUUAUCCUCUUAGCUCCCAGUCAGCAGAACCGAUCUGUCCCAUGUCCCCUUCUCUGGGUGGCCAUUCUCUAAUGCUAAAGCCCAACCAUACCAGGUGUUCCUGAGUAGACAGUGUGCCCCUGACAGUGACAUCUAGACUGAGCCUCUGAAGCCUCAGGGUGGUUGUAAGAAGUGUGUCCCCCCUUCUGCAGGAGGCAGGAAGGCAGGGAAGGGGAGGGACCCCGCCACCCCUCAAAUGGCACUAAUUCUACCUGCAUGGGAGCACUGACUUUCCAAUGGUCAUCUGGCUGGGAGGAUUUUCAUCUCCUGAAGUAUCAUGGUAGCUUGGGGAGGAGGGGGGAAGAGGAAGAGAACAAAGUCUUAAAUGUUCUUCAGCAUGACCCCUCGGUCAUCCCUCUCCUCUCUCUUUCAGGUUAGAAACAGAAAUUCAUAAAACCCAGGGACAAUACUGGCUUCCCCAUGGGACUCCUCAUUUUUUCCAGGAGCUGGGCUGAGUGCUUUGUGGGUAUCAUCUCAUCCCAUUUGCCCGACCACCCCAUGAAAUUUCUAGAAGAGGAAACUCAAGCUUAGGAGGGUUAAGUAAUGUGCCCGAGGUGACCACAGGAUUAGUCAAGGGGCCAAGUCACAGGAUUCAGGUCUGAUCGGCUCUGGACCCAUGUUCCUCCCCACCAAUUCACUUCUCCAGGCCUUGGUUUCCUCAUCUGUGGAAUGGGGACAUUAUCUGCCUGAAGGCGGGGUGGAAGGCUCCAUGGUCCCCAGGGACCCAUCCUCUCCUGGAAAGAGGUUCUGGGCUCUUGCAGAGCUGCCCAGUUCCCUCUCCAUCUCUAGCCACUCUCUGGAUGGGCUGCACCCCACAUCCUAGGCUGGCACACCUGUCCCUGACUGCUUGACCUUGGGGCUCUCUUGACCUUGAGGUUCCUCCUGCCUGGGUGCCCUCUAGUUCCUGUCUUGUGAGUUAAGUGCCUCUAGCUCCUUAUAUCAGGACUCCACCUCAACUUCACCUCCUCCAAAGCCCCAUCAAAACUGUCAAGCCAGAAAGCUGCUUCCCAGUCCACCUCCCAGGAGGUGAUGCUCUUCUCCACCCCUCCCCCAGGGCCGUGCACUCCCUUCCCAGCAAACUCACUCGCACCUGAAGCCUUGACACAGACAGGCUUAGCCAGCGCCUCACCUCCCACAGGAAGGAUUAUGUACAUUCAACACACUCAGCUAAAUAUUUCCUGAGCAUCCACGGCACACUUGGCUUCUUCUAUACUCUAUGGGUGUUCUACAGUCUGGGGCACAGCAGUGACGGUGACAAAGUCCCUGCCUGGGCUUCUGAAGGAGUCAAGAUUUCCCCCAAAACAGUGAUGCCCUAAACACACUAUGUGAACAUACUAGUUUAUGGAAUUCCCGUUGUGGCUCAGUGGUUAACGAACCCGACUAGCAUUCAUAAGGAUGUGAGUUCAGUCCCUGGCCUCGCUCAGUGAGUUAAGGAUCUGGUAUUGCUGUGAGCUGUGGUGUAGGUUGCAGACAUGGCUCAGAUCCCAUGUUGCUGUGGCUGUGGUGUAGGCCAGCAGCUACAGCUCUGAAUGGACCCCUAACCUGGGAACCCCCAUGUGCCGUUGUUGUGGCCCUAAAAAAAAAAGACCAAAAAAAAAAAUACUGGUUCACAUUUCUCAAGAUUCUCCUGCUGUUAUUUUUGGGUCAAGGAAUGAUUCAUAAAUGAUUAAUGAUUAAUAAAUGAUUCUAAAGAACAUGAUGGCAUUGGUAAGUGUGAUAGAACACUUGGUAAGGGACAGCUUGCUAUACCAUACACCAGUGGCUCUUAACACAGUGAUGGAGGCAGGUGUAUAGUGAGAAGUACCUUUCUAAGCCCAUCUGCAAAGCGUUGGGGUGGGAUAGGGGGGUGCUAUUUUCCUAAUUCAAACUGCAGAUGGUAAAGCUUACCGAAAUGUUCUUGGCCAAUGAGGAGACUUGGAAAAUACAUUUUCUUCUACAUAGCAAUGAUUUACGCUGGGAAUGUCCCAGACUCCCAAGAAAAAGAAACUUCUCUUCAUUAAAAGAUGAUCUGGGUAUUAAAAGUUUUAGAAAACAGUAUUUAAUCUUAUUACAUUUAUUUGUGCAUAUGUGUGCGUGUGUGUGUGUGUGUGUUUUAGUGGAUGUAUGAAAAAAGACUGGAAGGAAAUACAGCCAAAUUAGGGUGUUAUAAGCAGUUUUUGGUUUUAAUUUCAUACCUUUCCACAGUUUCCAAAUUUUCUCUCAUGACCCUUAUUGCUCCUCUAAGCAGAAAAUAAGCAGUAAACUGAAAUGCUAAUAGUUUUUUAAUUUCCUCAUGAAUCUGUUUUUACAGGCACCAUUUCAGUGGGGUCUGGAAAUCAGCAGGGUGUGAAACACAAAUGAAAUUCCCCGUUCACACGGGGCUGAGCGUACCCCUUGGCCCUGAAGAGAAGCUUUCCCUGCAUCCACGCUGGCAGCCAGCUGUCCACAGCUGCUCUGAGGAGGCUGCAAAUGAAUGGAGCUGGUGGAAAAACACAACAUUCCUGACUCUCCAAGGAUGGCAUUAUGCUUGGAGCUCUUGCUCACCAAAGAAGUAAAUAAAUACAGAGAGAGAGGGAGAGAAAGAGAGACAGAGAAGCAAGCUAGAGGAACUUUAUUCCAGGAGGUGGGUCAGCUCCUGGACCCAUAACACAACACCUGAAAGAAGACACCUGUGCCUAAGCCAACCAGCCUUGUCAAAUCAGGGCUAAAACACUGCUUGACCAUGGCCUACUGGGCUAUACCUCUUGCAUGCCACCUUCCCUUCCUGCCACACCUAAGGGUACAUAUGAACCAACUUUAUAUCCACCGCUAGGCUAAAGAGAUUCUGAGAGCACAGCCCCUGGCUGAUUCACCUUCAUCAACCCCUAGCACUGAAGGGCAUAUCCGUUCAUCCACUAUUUCCUCAGCCACUGCUGCAUGCCAGGCACUGAUGCUAAGGAUACAAUGGGAAGCAAAACAGACAAACUCCCUGCCUUCACGGACCUUCCAUUCUAGCAGGGGAGGCAGACAAUAGACUGGAGGAGAACCAAGAUUACAGCCCAGGCAGACUGGGGUGCUGUGAAUGUAUUGCUAGGUUGUUUCAGAUGAGAUCUAAUGACAAGGUGAAGCCAGCUGUGGGAAGAUUCUGCACACAUGUGAGCUUGGUGUGUUUCAGGAACAAAAAGGGGCCAGGUGGUUCGAGUACAGGGCGUAGACAGUGAUCAGAGAGGCAGGCAGAGGCCAGAUCCUGGAAACCCCAUGGGAGGGGAGCACAGGAGCAGCCCACUUGCCUUAUAAAACCUGCUGUGAGCCCCUGACAUGGUUCUGAGGGGUGGAUUAAUUCACUCCAAGGAGUUAAACAGAGAGACAAGCUCAGGGCUUUGCCUGCUUCCUCUGCCCCAAACCCUCAUUCCUCCCUCCACUGACCCAGCGAGAAAAGAUGCCCCAUCGAAGAAAGGAAGUUGUCAUCAGUGAACUGGUUGGUACUCUUUCUCUGAAGACAAAGGUGGGAUUGGGAAUUGGCGUGGAGAGUGGGAGGUGAGGGGGACCACCAGGGACUAGUCUGGGGAAGGGGAAGGGAGAGAGGGGAAGGGCUCUAACCUUCCCAGCCAGGACCUCACAGAAAUGCCAGAGUCCCUGAUCAGAGGGAGCCACACCUAAUUUGCCCCUUUCAGGAUCUCCUCCUGCAGAAAAAAAAAAAAAAAAUUGUUGCCAUUAUUCAGAAAAGCCAAUUACCCCCACAUUAGUAGGUUCUGAAGCUCUGCCCUGGGAGGUUUCUGGGGUAUGCCUCAUUUUUUGCAAAUGAGGGAGUCAGUGCCUGAGAAAAAGUGCACACAACGGCUCUAGGAAAUGAUGCGUGUAUCUCAAAUCCCCCAGAGCACCUCAAGUUCCCAGGAGCCCUGCAGGGCCCCUCCAGGUCAGGGUUCACUCCAGAACCUGCCAUGCAGUUUGUUGGGCAGCAGGUUUUCUGCCAGUGGGCACAGCCAUCCUAGGGAGAAGUCAGCGGCAGAGCAUGGUUCCAGACCCUUGAGUCUCUUCUUCCCAGGAGGGGAGGAGGAGUUAUAAAUAGUCCCUCAGCCCUCCACAGGCACAGAUCCCACACCCCCGCCCCAGCCUCAGCCAGCUGGUCCCUCCCCGCCCAAGUUCCCACAGCCUGCUAUAAGAGGGAGGGAAAUGGCUCACCCACAGUGGGGGUGGGGACCAAGUCCUUCAGGCCCCCAUGGGAGCCAGUGGCCUCCUAUGAAUGGUAACUGUAACCCCACCACACCUCUACACCCCUUGGUAACCGCAGUGCUGGAGCUGGGCAAGGGGCUUGCAAUAUUAUUAGGGGGCCUCUUACAGGGAGGUCAGCCCGGAAACCCCAACCUGCACACUCAGAGUAUGUUAAUGCAGACAGUGAACUUGCAAGAAACACAUUCUCCCCUUUCUCUGCCUUGGUUUCUCCAUCUGUAAGAUGAACCAAGAGCUGAACUAGGGGCUACCCAUGAGAUGAGCAUGGAAUGAAAGUGAAAAGGCAGUGUCAAAAUAUAACACUAUAUUAUCACAAAGAUACCAGAUUUUGGUUUCUUCUACAGGAACCCCAAGCACAGCCAUGGGGACAUAGAUUCUGAUCUGUCCGUGAGAGAAGAAUUAUGCUCAGUGACACUGCAUUAGCCUUGAAUUCUUGAUACUGCCUGCCCUUGAAAGCAUUAAACUUACAAAAUAUUCUCUCUUCUAGGUCAUUUCUGACUAAUAUAGAUUGACACACGCUGAAUCCAGAACUGUUUUGAUUUAACAGGGUUCUGCUGGACUGUACAUGACAUUAAAGACUGAAGAAUAAGCACUGACCUAAGGUAUUUAGGUUUGGGAGAAAAAAGUUCUCUUAAUCAUUCUGUUUACCAUUCAAAUCCUUCCUGCCCAUACACACGAGUAAGAAACAAGUGCCUAAAAUUUAAGUGGCCAAUGCACAGUUCUUUUUAAUUAAGACACUUUGUUUGCUCAAUAAAAUACAACGUAAAAAACAUUUACUGAAAACCCACUCAUUGAUGUCUAAUAGCGUGUCAAAUACUCAUAACAACAUUUAUUCCAACACCCCCGGAUAAUUGCUCAUCUUUCUCAUUUAGUAUCCACAACAGCACAGCGUUUGUGUCCAAGAGUAAUUGAUCCAGAAUUGGGCUCCCUUUCAAAAAUAUCUGUAAAACCUAAUUACCAGGAAAACAGAGUUCUGGCAUCCUACCGAAAGUGGGUGCUUCACAGUGCUUCACAGUGAGACAGGCUGCAAACUCAUUCUGGCUAAUCAAGCCACAUUAUGUUACACAAGGAGUUUGAGGAAUUUGGGGUGAGGAGGGAGCAGGAAAAGUUGGGAUAGUGUCAGACUGCAAAUGGGCAAUGACAGUUCUGAUUUUUUUUUUUUUUAAGCCAAGGGCAGGGGACAGGAAAUUAGCUGGCAAGCUUGGAUGUAAAAAGUACCAGAUAACGAGCC
rnacentral:lncRNA from 1 species